rnacentral:rRNA from 1 species
GACGAACGCUGGCGGCGUGCUUAACACAUGCAAGUCGAGCGGUAAGGCCCUUUCGGGGGUACACGAGCGGCGAACGGGUGAGUAACACGUGGGUGACCUGCCUCUAGCUCUGGGAUAAGCCUGGGAAGCUGGGUCUAAGUACCGGAUAUGACCUCGCGGUGCAUGUUGCGGGGUGAAAGCCUUGUGCGGCUAGGGAUGGGCCCGCGGCCUAUCAGCUUGGUUGGUGGGGUGANGGCCUACCAAGGCGACGACGGGUAGCCGGCCUGAGAGGGCGACCGG